GAUGGGCUCGCGGCCUAUCAGCUUGUUGGUGGGGUAACGGCCUACCAAGGCGACGACGGGUAGCUGGUCUGAGAGGACGAUCAGCCACACUGGGACUGAGACACGGCCCAGACUCCUACGGGAGGCAGCAGUAGGGAAUCUUGCGCAAUGGGGGAAACCCUGACGCAGCGACGCCGCGUGCGGGAUGAAGGCCUUCGGGUCGUAAACCGCUUUCAGCAGGGACGAAAUUGACGGUACCUGCAGAAGAAGGCCCGGCCAACUACGUGCCAGCAGCCGCGGUGAUACGUAGGGGUCUAGCGUUGUCCGGAAUUAUUGGGCGUAAAGAGCUCGUAGGCGGUUCGGCAAGUCGGAUGUGAAAUCUCCACGCUUAACGUGGAGGGGCCAUUCGAAACUGCCGUGACUCGAGUCCGGUAGGGGAGUGCGGAAUUCCCGGUGUAGCGGUGAAAUGCGCAGAUAUCGGGAGG
rnacentral:rRNA from 1 species